rnacentral:misc_RNA from 1 species
AAGUCGUAACAAGGUUUCCGUAGGUGAACCUGCGGAAGGAUCAUUACAAAAUAUGACUGUGACUGUAGUGGAGUUUGAUGACGCAAGUUGUCGACUCCCUCAGUUACUUGAGCCCACUCCCGAAAGGGAGAUGGACAGCACACAUUAACUUGUGUGUGACAUAGACUUUAAAUCAUGACUUAUUUCAUUAUUAAAUAACCAAAACUUUUAACAAUGGAUCUCUUGGCUCUU